rnacentral:rRNA from 1 species
UGGGGAAUAUUGGACAAUGGGCGCAAGCCUGAUCCAGCCAUGCCGCGUGAGUGAUGAAGGCCCUAGGGUUGUAAAGCUCUUUCACCGGUGAAGAUAAUGACGGUAACCGGAGAAGAAGCCCCGGCUAACUUCGUGCCAGCAGCCGCGGUAAUACGAAGGGGGCUAGCGUUGUUCGGAUUUACUGGGCGUAAAGCGCACGUAGGCGGACUAUUAAGUCAGGGGUGAAAUCCCGGGGCUCAACCCCGGAACUGCCUUUGAUACUGGUAGUCUUGAGUUCGAGAGAGGUGAGUGGAAUUCCGGGUGUAGAGGUGAAAUUCGUAGAUAUUCGGAGGAACACCAGUGGCGAAGGCGGCUCACUGGCUCGAUACUGACGCUGAGGUGCGAAAGCGUGGGGAGCAAGCAGG